rnacentral:lncRNA from 1 species
AGCAUAGCAGGAAAACCAGAGUCACCACCCCUCACUUUCCACAAGUCCUACUGGAAUUAUGUUUUCUACACUGGCAGGUUUGUCUUACUAAUGUGAACUCCUAAUUCUCGUUGUGUUUCUGAAGCAGAUGCUGGUGCCAGGCCAAGGAAAGGACCAGGAACGAGGUUCUCCACACAUCCUCCAUCCGUGCGUUCCAGGGCUCGUGGGUUUGCUUCAGCCAAAACCUCGAACGAGCCACAUCCUUGUGUUCUUGACUGUGAUGAGAUUGCGAGCUAUGUGUAACUUCUCCGAGGGGUCAAACGUGUUAUGUUUGCUCAACAUUGCCCCAGCCUUCUGACACGUGUGAUUACAGAGCAGGAGUGCAGGUGAAGUCAGGACACGGAAAGCGCUGCAUACACAGGCCCCCUCUCAUGGAGGAGGACUGCUUUCUGAAAGCAGGGGCGGCUAAGCAUGUUUCAUCAUACAUGGGUGCCUCGGAACCCAGUUACUGUAAGCUCAGGUCUCUCUCUCUCUUUUUUAAAAU